GCCAGGCACAGUGGCUUAUGCCUGUAAUCCCAGCACUUUGGGAGGCUGAGGUGGGAGGAUUGCUUGAGCCCAGGAAGCUGAGGCUGCAGUGAGCCAUGAUCACACCGCUGCACUCCAGCCUGGGUGACAGAGCAAGAUCCUGUCUCAA
ensembl:misc_RNA Metazoa_SRP Metazoan signal recognition particle RNA